rnacentral:rRNA from 1 species
CCUACGGGCGGCAGCAGUAGGGAAUAUUGCUCAAUGGGGGCAACCCUGACGCAGCAACGCCGCGUGGAUGAUGAAGGUCUUCGGAUUGUAAACUCCUUUUGUUAGAGAAGAUAAUGACGGUAUCUAACGAAUAAGCACCGGCCAACUCCGGAACAGCAGCCGCGGUAAUACGGAGGGUGCAAGCGUUACUCGGAAUCACUGGGCGUAAAGGGCGCGUAGGCGGGAUAGCAAGUCAGAUGUGAAAUCCUAUGGCUUAACCUUAGAACUGCAUUUGAAACUGUUAGUCUAGAGUAUGGGAGAGGUAGGUGGAAUUCUUGGUGUAGCGGUAAAAUCCGUAGAGAUCAAGAGGAAUACUGAUUGCGAAGGCGGCCUGCUAGAACAUAACUGACGCUGAUGCGCGAAAGCGUGGGGAGCAAACAGGAUUAGAUACCCCUGUAGUC